rnacentral:rRNA from 1 species
CGCAUCUGUGCAUGCAGCAUAUCAAUAAGCGGAGGAAAAGAAACUAACAAGGAUUCCCUUAGUAACGGCGAGUGAAGCGGGAAGAGCUCAAAUUUGAAAUCUUCAAGGUUUUACCUUGACGAAUUGUAGUUUAAAGAAGUGUUUUCUGUUGAAGUUUUGGUAAAAGUUCUUUGGAAUAGGACAUCAUAGAGGGUGAGAAUCCCGUAUUUGACCAUUAUUUUCAGCUGUGUGAUACACUUUCAAAGAGUCGGAUUGUUUGGGAAUGCAGUCCAAAAUGGGUGGUAAAUUUCAUCUAAAGCUAAAUAUUGGCGAGAGACCGAUAGCGAACAAGUACCGUGAGGGAAAGAUGAAAAGAACUUUGAAAAGAGAGUUAAACAGUACGUGAAAUUGUCAAAAGGGAAGCGUUUGACACCAGUGUUGUUUUCUCGAAAAUCAAUUAAAAAGGAGUUAGAUUUUGUUGUGUAUUGACCUUAACAGCUUGCAUUUCAAUUUUCUUGCUUUUUUUAAUGCACUUUUCGUUUAACAAGUCAACAUCAGUUUCUUUUGUUGUAAAAAGGUCAGUUGGAAGGUGGCUUUCUUUUCGGAGAAAGUGUUUAUAGCCUUUGACUCCUGCAAUCGGAGAGACUGAGGUCUGCAGCGUAGAUCCUUCGGGGUUAGAUACAUUUGUGCUAAGUUAUAGCUUUUUAUAGACAACUUGUUGACUAUGAUUAGUCUUCGUAGCUUACUCGCUUAUGCUAUUUUACCUACGCUUAGGAUGUUGACACACGCGCGUGCUCG